rnacentral:rRNA from 1 species
UACGGAGGGUGCAAACGUUGCUCGGAAUCAUUGGGCGUAAAGCGCACGUAGGCGGUGCAGUAAGUCGGAUGUGAAAGCCCUCGGCUCAACCGAGGAAGUGCAUUCGAAACUGCUGUGCUUGAGUACGGAAGAGGGUCUCGGAAUUCCCGGUGUGGAGGUGAAAUUCGUAGAUAUCGGGAGGAACACCAGUGGCGAAGGCGGAGACCUGGGCCGAUACUGACGCUGAGGUGCGAAAGCGUGGGGAGCAAACAGG